rnacentral:rRNA from 1 species
GACGAACGCUGGCGGCGUGCUUAACACAUGCAAGUCGAACGGUGAAGCGCUUGCCUUUUUGGUGGGUGUGGAUGAGUGGCGAACGGGUGAGUAACACGUGAGUAACCUGCCCUCUUCUUCUGGAUAACCUCAUGAAAGUGGGGCUAAUACGGGGUAUUCCGGGUCUGUCGCAUGGCGGGUUUGGGAAAGAUUGCGCCUUUGGGGGUUUUCGGUGGGGGAUGGGCUCGCGGCCUAUCAGCUUGUUGGUGGGGGGAUGGCCUACCAAGGCGGUGACGGGUAGCCGGCCUGAGAGGGUGGACGGCCACACUGGGACUGAGACACGGCCCAGACUCCUGCGGGAGGCAGCAGUGGGGAAUAUUGCACAAUGGGCGCAAGCCUGAUGCAGCGACGCCGCGUGAGGGAUGGAGGCCUUCGGGUUGUGAACCUCUUUCGCCAGUGAAGCAGGCCUGCUCCUGUGUGGGUGGGUUGACGGUAGCUGGAUAAGAAGCGCCGGCUAACUACGUG